ACGUAACCCGCGUUAGGGAUUGAAACGGCAUCCUUUUUAUGUCAGUUCGAGUGAAUUUGUGAAGCAUGAACAAAUUUGUAUCGAGAACAAAUAAAAAGAUAUAGUGAAAAGCCCGACCUUUA
rnacentral:sRNA from 1 species